CGCGUCCCCACGCAGGACGCAGCGCCGAGAGCAUCUCUGACCCCGCGGCACUGGGCGCACCCGCGGGGCUUUCAGGUUGGUAGCGCCGCUGGGAAACGCGAAGCGCUGCAGAAGGAGUGAGGGCUGAAGCGCAUCUUUCCACGUGCUUUACUUGGGCUCCCGACCCGGCCCGGCGAUGGAGGUAGUGCGACUGCCAAGCAGAGCACUUCUGUCCUUGUUCUCACACCGCCACACCGGAGCUUUCAAGUGAAUCCCCAUUGAUCCACCCCAGAGCUUUUGGCUCCAGGCCUCAAAAUUCCGAAUCCCAUGUUUUAGGUUGGAUAUUCGGAAACAUUUCUUCUCAGAAGUAGAGGUGAGAAGUGGCCCAGGCUGCCCAGGGAGGCGGUGGAGUCCCUGGAGGUGUUCAGGAACUGUGGAGAUGUGGCACUGAGGGGUUAGUGGUUAUGGUGGGGGUGGGAUGACGACUGGACCAGGUUGUAGAAUCUUAGAACCACAGAAUACAGACCCACAGGAAUCACCGAGUCCAACCCGUGGCUGCACACAGGAACACCCGGAACUCAAACCCUAUGUCUGACAGUGUUGUCCAAUCACUCCUUGAACGCCGGCAGCUCGGGGCCGUACCCACUGCCCUGGGCAGGCUGUGCCGUGCCCACCGCCCUCUGGUGCAGCACCUUUCCCUAAUCCCCACCCGACCCUCCCCCGAAGCAGCUACAUGCCAUUCCCUCGGGCCCGUUGCUGUCACCAGAUGAUCAUAGAGGUCUUUACCAACCUUAACGAUUCCAUGAAUUCCAAGCGUGGGCAGCUUCAGGUCCUCAGUUAAAAACCACAACUGGAAACAACGCCUGUGGGAGCUGGGAUCUGUCAGAGCUUCUGCAGGUCACUGCUUCUUCCAGGAGAUUUGUAUGCUUGCACUGCUCCUCUUUGGCACUUAGGAGUCAAUACUUUUUGAAAGGACUUCAUCAUCUUUUGAAUUGCUGGCCACCUGUUCUGGCUGUUUGUGUGGAAGUGGAGCUUUUGCUUUUUCUUUUUGGAAAGCCUGAGCCAGGAGGCCCGAGAUCCCUUCAACACCCCGGGCUGUGCAUUCGGGUGCAGGCUUCUCCACAGCCAAGCUCUCCACCAUCCUCUGCUCUGCCAGCCUCCAGUCCCUCGAACCUGUACGUUUUGUAGUCUUUAGAGAGCGUUCUUACAUGGCAAAAUCUUUCUAGUGCUUUUUAAAUAAGCUCUUUCUUCCCUUUAAUAUUGUUUCUUCCUUUUCUCUCAGGAAACCCGCUCCCUUGUCUAUUUGAAGCAAGCUGUGAUGCGGCCGGUUGUAUUAGUUCUGGCUGGCGCAAAAAUGCGGAAUGAAACCCGAAGUGUGUGGUGUGGGUCCAAAAUAAAUGGUCAGCAGCAGAGCCAGCAAAAACCUGCGAGAGCAGACAGUCUGCAAAGAGGAAAAGCUCGGGCUCUACCUGCGGCGCUUUGCAUUUUUUUUCUUUUCCAAUGGGAAAAAUAAGUUCUGGCUUUAAAGAGCUUGGGAAGAGACGCUGGGGGCACUGUGCCUGUUUGUGAUUGCAUGUAUGAAUUGUGAUGAUCCUUGCAUUUUUGUGCGUGUGUGUGUGAAUGCAGCAUCUGUAAGUGGGGGAAGGUGCUUUAUCUCCCGCCCUGCGUUCUCAAAACACAGCAGCUUGAUUUUUAUGUGCCAGAUGUCAGCCUGCCCCGAUUCUCCAUCAGUCAGUUGGGAUGAAAGCCUGCCCAUAUCACAGAGGUGCUGCGAGGAUAACUCUGCUCCUGCACAGGGAAAUCUGGUACCGCAGCGAUAAAGACCCUGUAAAUAUUUACACAGACAGAGCGAGCUCAUGGAAAUGGUACAUUAUUGGCUUAACUUCACUGCAAGGAAGGAGUUGAGAAUGUCACAGAUAUGUUACGUUCACUCUUAUUUUUAAUUAAGCAUCGACAACAUAUUUGGUGCUCCUUCAAGCCACAAGAUUCAGAGAGCUGCUGCUCUGAAUGUUUUACAAACUGCAGGGAAAUACCAAGCCUCAAGCAAAGGCAAGAAGUAACACAGCCACCUUAAGACUAAAUCCUGCUGGUUGGACCUUUACACUUCUAAGCGUUAAUAAAAUAGUGGGGAAAGGCCAACCAGAGGAUAUAAUUUAUUUGAACAUUCAAAAACCUUCUGAUAAACACCCAUACAAGAAACUGUUAAGGAAACUUGGUAACCACAGAAUUAAAAUCUGGGGAUGGAGUAAAUAGCCAAUUCUGGUAGGGAAAGAGAUUAAUAAUGAGGUGCUCCAUAGAUCAGGACGCAGACCAACACUGUUUAAUCCUGUAUUAAUAAUGUCAGGGUGAAGACUGAAGUGGCAAAAGUUGAUGUCAAUAGAAAAGCAGUUAGCUUAGGUCAGAACAGCUCCAGGAGAAUUCAGUAACACAGCAGGACCCUGUGCAGAAGUAGGAGCCCAACAUAGAAGGUGCCCUCAGAACCUGCAGCAGCCCUCCCGCUCCCCCUGGCACCAUCCCACAGCUGUACAAGGGAGAAGGUCGGUAAGCAGGGCACAGGCAGAAGUUUGCACGGCUCAGCUGCUUCCUCGCUCCUCCCAGCGGCUGCCCAGCUCCCACAGCCUGCAGUGCCAAGAGACUGAGCUCCCACUACCAGCCUGUGAAUAAUAUACCUCAGAGCUUAUCCAGCAAAUGUUUAGAAAAGCCAGUGUGAGUUCCCCAUGGCUUAUUCUCCCCUGAGGACAUACCAAAAGCUCUUCUCGGUCACCUCUCACAGAUACUUUGGGCUCUGAGGUUUUUCUUCCCACUGACUUUGCUUUUACAGUGUGGCUGUGCCUCGCUACUCCUCGAUGGUGUGAUCUUUGCAAAGUGGGGAAACCCUGAAUCCACACUGUAGGCUAUUUGUUCCAGCCUGGUACACAGACAAACAUACUUACCUGGCAGCUUGGACAGCAUCUGAUGGCAUCUCUGUGUAACUUCAUUGUUGCCAGCCCUCCUUUCCAACCAUUCUGUCUUCUCCGCAGUGCCACCCCGAUACAGCACAGGCUCUGAUGGCUUUUGUAGAAUGAUUUGGGUUGGAAGAGACUUCAAAGCCCAUUCAAUUCCAUCCCCCUACCAUGAGCAGGGCUGCCCCCCCCAACAGCUCAGGCUGCCCAGGGCCCCAUGAACCUGGCCUUGAGCACCUCCAGGGAUGGGGCAUCCACAGCUUCUCUGGAUAAAUCUAAAAUGAAAAACCAUAUAAAAUGAAAAACAAUGCACAUAAUAUCCAUUCUGCCUAAUAAACUGUAACCUAAUACUUCAGUGCAGGGGAAUGGGCUCCAGGUAUGAGCAGACUUCAUUUGUGGAGCUUUACGAACUGACAUCAAAUGAGAACCUGCUCAGAAGUGAAGGAACAGCUUCAUUAGCCCUGCAGCAUGUGUGAGCAGCAAUUCUGCCAAGGGCUGGGGAGGAAAAGAUCCUUUCUCUUUGUCUAUGGUUCACUGCAUUGAAUUAUUAUGGGAAACAAGAUGUUCAGGCCACAGUGCAAUGUGUAUGAGCACAGUGUGCAAUAAUGCAACCAUGAAGGUCACUGAACAGCUUGGUAUUGCUGGUUUAGAAUUUGUGGAUUUUACCAUUAUCACCUUUGAUUUUCUCCAAAAGCGCUAUUCACAUAAAAACUUUGGGAACUUUUUGGAAUAAUCUAAGUGGGCCUGAGUCUGGGGCAGCCCAUGGCUCUGGGUAUGCUGCAGAACUCCUGAAGACCAACACAUCAGGGCCUGACCUCUGCAGGAGGCAGAGCCCCGGUGUUUCCCUGGAAGUGGCUGCCCUCUGCCUGCCUCGCUGCCCUGGUGCAGGGGGAGUAACUACUCGGGCUCUGGUUUAUUGCUGACCUCCCCAGGCUCCUGGAUGGCCCUGCUGACAUCACAGAGACUCUCAAGCACCAACCCUUGCCAUGGGCUUCGAAACCCUUCCUCCCCCAGCUUUUCACUGGUCAUUGCUGCCGCUCCUUUCACCUGCCAGCAGAGAAAUCAGCAGCUCCUCAGCCCCAGCCUCAUCCUCCAGAACCUGAGGCCCAGAGCAGCCACUGUCCUGAGCCACUUCCAGCAGGGCAGCGCUGAUUCAUUUCCUCCCAGUCCCAAGGACAAUUAACAGAAGCUGUCAUUUUGUUAAUCUGGGUGGAAUUAAUCACUACCAGCGUUUUGAUUUUAAUCCUUUUGUUUCCAUAGACUCUAAGAGCUUUAGGAUCUGUGAGCUUUUAAAUCUGUGGUUUUAGAAGAUACUGACAUUUAUCUUUAUCCAGGACAUAAAAUCUUUUGCAGAAGUGACAGGUUUUUUUUGGAGGACCUAAACUAUUUUGGAUUCAAAUCAGGACAGAAAUGCAAGGGCCAGACUGGAGAGGUACAGCAGGAGGUUGUCUGACUCUUGCUUGUUUCACCAGCACGGAGCAGUAGGCAGAAUGAGAAGCUGAGUAUUUUGUGCAGAGAAGAUGGCUUCUUGCCAUCUACCAGUUUUCAAAGACAUGGCAAAAAAGAAGACCUGGAUCUGUAAUUUCUUCCUUUGCUUUUGGUAUCAACCAGCUUCCAAGGAUGCUGGGAGGGUUGGCAGCCCAGCCAGCAGCAGGAGGCUAGAACAAAAUUAUCUUUGAGGUCCUUUUCAACCCAAGCCAUUCUAUGAUUGUGUGAUUCUAUGAUAACUGCGGUAGUUUUUUUCAGAGAUG
ensembl:lncRNA